rnacentral:rRNA from 1 species
CCCCUAGAUGUUCUGGGCCGCACGCGCGCUACACUGAACAGUUCAACAAGUCUUAACCUUGGCCGAUAGGUCUGGGUAAUCUUUGAACGCUGUUCGUGAUUGGGAUAGACCUUUGCAAUUAUGGGUCUUCAACGAGGAAUUCCUAGUAAACGCAAGUCAUCAGCUUGCAUUGAUUACGUCCCUGCCCUUUGUACACACCGCCCGUCGUACCUACCGAUUGAAUGGUCCGGUGAAAUCUCGGGACGGCGGCUCGGUCGCUUGCGUCCGACUGCUGAAACUUGAUUAAACCAUAUCAUUUAGAGGAAGGUGAANUCGUANCA